GAUUAACGCUGGCGGCGUGCAUAACACAUUCAAGUCGAACGGAGUAAGACCCUUCGGGGAUUUACUUAGUGGCGGACGGGUGAGUAACGCGUGAGCAAUCUACCUCCCAGUGCGGAAUAACAACCGGAAACAGUUGCUAAUACCGCAUGAAAUAGCAGAACCGCAUGGUUCAACUAUCAAAGAAUCAUCGCUGGGAGAUGAGCUUGCGUCCGAUUAGGUAGUUGGUGAGGUUAAACGGGCCCACCAAGCCGACGAUCGGUAGCCGGACUGAGAGGUUGAACGGCCACAUUGGAACUGAGAUACGGUCCAGACUCCUACGGGAGGCAGCAGUGGGGAAUAUUGGGCAAUGGGCGAAAGCCUGACCCAGCGACGCCGCGUGAGGGAAGAAGAUCUUCGGAUUGUAAACCUUAGUCAACAGGGAAGAAGCAAGUGACGGUACCUGUGGAGGAAGCCACGGCUAACUACGUG
rnacentral:rRNA from 1 species